rnacentral:rRNA from 1 species
UACGUAGGGUCCGAGCGUUGUCCGGAAUUACUGGGCGUAAAGAGCUCGUAGGUGGUUUGUCGCGUUGUUCGUGAAAACUCACAGCUCAACUGUGGGCGUGCGGGCGAUACGGGCAGACUGGAGUACUGCAGGGGAGACUGGAAUUCCUGGUGUAGCGGUGGAAUGCGCAGAUAUCAGGAGGAACACCGGUGGCGAAGGCGGGUCUCUGGGCAGUAACUGACGCUGAGGAGCGAAAGUGUGGGGGAGCGAACAGG